rnacentral:antisense_RNA from 1 species
UGCCGUCUGUGGGAAGCUGCCCCAACCCAUUCCCCUUCCCCGGCUUGGAAAAACAAUGUCCCAGUGAUGAAAUGCCUUGCAGAUUUAUUGUAAUUUAAAUCUCCUUCCCUUUAACCCAAACCAGGGCACAGAAAGGUGGUUAGAAUGUUCCAGCACAAACUCAUAUGAGCACAGGAGCUAUUCCAGGGAAAAGUAUCCUCCCUACCUGCAUGAAGCUUCCUUUCAAGACACUGAUAUUAUCAAGAACAUGAAGGAAGAGUGGCAGCAGCCCACCUGAGGCACAGCAGAGCUGGGGGUGAUGAGAGAAAUUUAAGGGAAAUGGCCCCUGUCAGACACGGGCUUCCUUUGACGGUGUGGGAAUCCCACCUGGCCACAAAGGGUAGAGGAAGCAAGUGCCCCAGGAGUCUUGAUCGCAGCCCAGGUCGGCACGAGGAAAGCAGAAAGCAGGAAGAGUGAGUGUUCCUGGUACCACGGCUUCCAGGCUCUUCCCAGUUUAGAGUGCUCAACAUUCUAAAACUCGGCCAGCCAGCUGGGAGAUUUGGGUAUUCAGAUUUUUGGGUGCCUUAAGAUUCCACUGGCAGUAGAGAAUCACUAAAUGCCCAUUUCUGAAUGAAUUCUACUCCCCAGAGACAUUAACAGAUGAUGUACUUGGCUUGAAUCCUAUUUGAUGUAAGAAAAUCAGCCAAGAGUCCUUCCUAAGUUACUCACAUCUGAGGCACCAUCGGGCUGACUGUGGGACACUCCAGACAGGGAGUGCUGUGUACCCUCGACCUCUCCUGUGACACGAACACCUCCUCUGUCUCUCUCCAUGGACGACGUUUUCAUCUUAUGCUUUGGGAAUGCUACCUGGCCACCCUGGAGGGCCACCCAAGGAAAGAGUUCGUUCCAAAGACAGGUGCUCCUCUGAGUUCCUCUGGAAUCUGGCAAGGCGCCGAGCUUGGACGCAAGGCUUCCAUGAGGCUGUGAAGGAGGCUGCAUGGAAACCGGUGGGGACCUGAAAAGCUUUUAGUGGCCUCGCCACAUACAGCACUUUAGAUGCUCAGGUGACGAGCAACAUUUUCCAAGCCCAGCUAGUGAGCACCCCACCUGCUCUGGCUUCCAGAACCUGGUGUGGAGGGCCGGGGGAGGCUUCGGGACUGAAGAGCAGAGCAGCAGACUCCGGGGCUCAUGUAGGAACAUGCCUUCAGCCAAAGAUUAUCCAUGCUGCAUGGAGACUCUUGCUAAAUAUCACUGGUAAAUGCACAAUUAUGUCCCAUUUAGAAGAUCUCUAGCAGAGUGUCUUGUGUUUGAUGGAUUUGUCCUGCAUUUAAUUAUAACUUCCUGCUAAAGCUCAGAUGUUUUCUUUCAGGGGUAAGAUUGAAGAAAAGAAAUAAACUAUGCUACCUGCUCUCAAUAAAGAUCAUUUUAUUUUAAACAGGGGGCUGAAUAAAACCUUUUGACUCUAUAUUUCAGACAAAUGCAGUGGCUUAAUUUCAUUCAAGCAUUUACUGAGGAUUUGAAACGCAUGCGGUUAGUGGUGAGAAUGCUGACUUGGGGCUGUCCCUUCAUCUGGAGUUGCCAGCCGACUGCGCAGGAAGAGAAGGUGAAUGUCAAACACACAGGUCAACAUCAGAAACAGCACUUCUGCCUUCCAAUGGCCCCGAU